CAUCUAGCGAGACUGCCGGUAAUAAACCGGAGGAAGGUGGGGAUGACGUCAAAUCAUCAUGCCCCUUAUGACCUGGGCUACACACGUGCUACAAUGGUUGGUACAACGAGUUGCGAGUCGGUGACGGCGAGCUAAUCUCUUAAAGCCAAUCUCAGUUCGGAUUGUAGGCUGCAACUCGCCUACAUGAAGUCGGAAUCGCUAGUAAUCGCGGAUCAGCACGCCGCGGUGAAUACGUUCCCGGGCCUU
rnacentral:rRNA from 1 species